ensembl:lncRNA
GAAAUGCUUUGCAGCACACCCAAGAACUCCCUGGUUGUGGAUGGGCUGUGUGCCCAAAGAGGCCAUCUCAGAGCAUCGCUGAGGGUACCCAUCAGCAGCUGGAAGCCCACACACCUUGGAUGCACAACAGUACAUCCAUGCAUAUCGUCUGCUUGUUCAGGCUCCACAGCCUACACUCAGAACCUUUCCUUCAAAGCAAAGCAAAAAAAGAAAGAAAGAAAAAGCAAGCAAGGUGAAUGCCAGUUUGAUUGGUGGCAGGCUGCAGACUCUGAAGGCUGUUCUCCAUCAGAGCCUGCACAGCGAGGACCUGUGUUUGCAUGGGAAGCACGAAGCACAAAGGAGGUGCUCAGGCCUCACCUCGCACAUUUAAUCACUCCUGUGAAUGGGUGUCAUUGAGGUCCUGGCAGCCCAGUCCCAGCAUGCUGCAUCCCCCCGAGGUACCAUUGCCGUGUGAGCUGCAAGCGGCACAGAGAGGCAGCUGCUGCCUCCUAACACGCAGGGGAUGAAGCUGCAUGCACAGCACUACUAAUGAGGAAAGCAGUGAUUCCUCACUCAUUGAAAUACCAUCGUUCCUUGGAAUGGGCUUUCCUAGUGCUGGGUUUGAGAAGUUUUUGGAGCUGAGGAGAAAGUUACUCCCUGAGCACUGAACAGCCACAGCUAGAUCGUGGAGCUGGACCGUUCUUUGAUCCUUUCUGGGAGAAAACAAAAGAUCUGUAUGGCAUCAAUCCUUUUAUUCCUCCUUUCCCAAAUGAUCAGCCAAUGUUUUAGGAAAGAAUGAACUUCAGAUCUUCUGAGCAUGCAAAGCAACAAGGCAUCAAGGCAGCAGUGACACAAGCAGCAAUAUCCUUUGGUGGAUGGUGCUGAAGCCAGUGAAAAGCUCACAGAAACAGCAGCCUCUCCUGGGAAGAUACCUCCUCAUGGACGAGUGAUAAGCCUUUCCCCCAGAGUGCAGGAGCUAGGCUGCAGAGAACAAGGCACAGCACACUCUCCUGGCUGCUCCAGCUUGUGGCAGCCCUC